GGCGCGGUAGCCAAGUGGCAAGGCGGUGGUUUGCAAAACCAUUAUUCACCGGUUCGAAUCCGGUCCGCGCCU
rnacentral:tRNA from 1 species